GUUGAAACAUUGGUUCCCAUACAAACACCAAAGUUAAGUAACAUCAAGCCUGGUCAGUACCUAGAUGGGUGACUGCUUGAGAAUACUAGGUAGUGUAA